UCCUUCUUACUGUCAUCAAAUUUCUUCUUUGUUACUGGACUAUAAUUAUAUUUCCAUAAACUGUAUUACUUCCUCUUAGCCACUAUUCUGGUUAUCAUAUUAACUCUAAUUUCCUCCAACAUGGUUAUUAUGCUAUUAAAUCUAGACUCCACGAUGUUGGAGUUAAAUGCUUCACAGAGGUUAUUGUCUACAAUAUUUGACACCGAGUGUAACCCCUAGAAGGCCUUGGUCCAAGCUUUCGAAUUCUUAGAGAACAACUCCUUUGCAUCACAUUCAUCAAGCCUAUACAAGUCUUCUUUGAUUUUUUUUCCACUCCCUCUCUGUUGUAGACUUAACAACUUUCCAAACAACAAAUUCGAAUGUCUUUGCUUUCUUCCUACCAGACCAAUUUGAUAAGACAUGCCUAGCAUAAUUUCUAUAUUCUACUCGAGGUAGAAUGCCAUUAAUGGCUAUCUCGUGACCCUACAAAUUAA
rnacentral:lncRNA from 1 species